rnacentral:rRNA from 1 species
AUGAACGCUGGCGGCGUGCCUCAUACAUGCAAGUCGAGCGAACGGACGAGAAGCUUGCUUCUCUGAUGUUAGCGGCGGACGGGUGAGUAACACGUGGAUAACCUACCUAUAAGACUGGGAUAACUUCGGGAAACCGGAGCUAAUACCGGAUAAUAUUUUGAACCGCAUGGUUCAAAAGUGAAAGACGGUCUUGCUGUCACUUAUAGAUGGAUCCGCGCUGCAUUAGCUAGUUGGUAAGGUAACGGCUUACCAAGGCAACGAUGCAUAGCCGACCUGAGAGGGUGAUCGGCCACACUGGAACUGAGACACGGUCCAGACUCCUACGGGAGGCAGCAGUAGGGAAUCUUCCGCAAUGGGCGAAAGCCUGACGGAGCAACGCCGCGUGAGUGAUGAAGGUCUUCGGAUCGUAAAACUCUGUUAUUAGGGAAGAACAUAUGUGUAAGUAACUGUGCACAUCUUGACGGUACCUAAUCAGAAAGCCGCGGCUAACUACGUG